rnacentral:rRNA from 1 species
AGUGAACGCUGGCGGUAGGCCUAACACAUGCAAGUCGAACGGCAGCACAGCAGUAGCAAUACUGUGGGUGGCGAGUGGCGGACGGGUGAGGAAUACAUCGGAAUCUACCUUUUCGUGGGGGAUAACGUAGGGAAACUUACGCUAAUACCGCAUAAGACCUUCGGGUGAAAGCCGGGACCUUCGGCCUGGCGCGGAUAGAU